AGAACCAGCUGAUGGAUCUUUACAAUGGCUGAUUCUUGGAGGAAUCAUUGGGAUCAUCGUACUCAUCUGUCUGGUCAUCUGCGUUUGCGCUCUUGCGUGUAGGAGACAUUCAAAUACGACACAUCCAAGUCAACCACAGAGUCAGAGUCAAAGCAGUACACAGCUGGCCUUUAUAGAGCCAACAAGUAAGACAGAAGAAGACAACAUCCAUUAUGGAGAGAUCGACUUCUCCAAGCAAAGAUCUGAGCCAUCUUCCACCUCAGUGCAGGACAGUGGACAGCAGCAGGACACGCUGUAUGCGCAGGUCAAAGUGUCAGAGACAGCAAACAGCUUAACACAGACUGCUGACGUCCCAGAAGAUCUCUAUGCUCAAGUGAAGUACUAAUGAAUGCUGUUUUGUUUGUGUAAAAACGUAGACUGCAU